rnacentral:tRNA from 1 species
AGUGGGUUGGCUGAGUGGUUAGAGCUUAGGUCUCGUAACCGAAAGGUCACGGGUUUGAAUCCCGCUAGAGGCUG